GGGCUCACACAAGCGGUGGAUGAUGUGGCUUAAUUCGAGGCAACGCGAAGAACCUUAUCCUGGACUUGACAUGCUUGGAUGGCUCGCCCGAAAGGGAUGAGUCUGCCUUCGGGUGAACUUGCACAGGUGCUGCAUGGCUGUCGUCAGCUCGUGUCGUGAGACGUCGCGUUAAGUCGCUUAACGAGCGCAACCCUUGUCCUUAGUUGCCAGCACGUAAUGGUGGGGACUCUAAGGAGACCGCCGGUGUCAAACCGGAGGAAGGCGGGGACGACGUCAAGUCAUCAUGGCCUUUAUGUUCAGGGCUGCACACGUCAUACAAUGCAACAUACAAAGGGCAGCUAACCCCGCGAGGGGGAGCCAA
rnacentral:rRNA from 1 species